GUGGGGAAUCUUGCGCAAUGGGCGAAAGCCUGACGCAGCCAUGCCGCGUGAAUGAUGAAGGUCUUAGGAUUGUAAAAUUCUUUCACCGGGGACGAUAAUGACGGUACCCGGAGAAGAAGCUCCGGCUAACUUCGUGCCAGCAGCCGCGGUAAUACGAAGGGGGCUAGCGUUGCUCGGAAUUACUGGGCGUAAAGGGCGCGUAGGCGGACAGUUUAGUCAGAGGUGAAAGCCCAGGGCUCAACCUUGGAAUUGCCUUUGAUACUGGCUGUCUUGAGUACGGGAGAGGUGAGUGGAACUCCGAGUGUAGAGGCGAAAUUCGUAGAUAUUCGGAAGAACACCAGUGGCGAAGGCGACUCACUGGCCCGUUACUGACGCUGAGGCGCGAAAGCGUGGGGAGCAAACAGGAUUAGAAACCCCGGUAGUCC
rnacentral:rRNA from 1 species